UACGUAGGGUGCGAGCGUUAAUCGGAAUUACUGGGCGUAAAGCGUGCGCAGGCGGUUCGUUGUGUCGGUGGUGAAAUCCCCGGGCUUAACCUGGGAAUGGCCAUGGAAACUGGCGAACUGGAGUGCGGCAGAGGGGGGUGGAAUUCCCGGUGUAGCAGUGAAAUGCGUAGAGAUCGGGAGGAACAUCUGUGGCGAAGGCGGCCACCUGGACCAGCACUGACACUGAGGCACGAAAAGCGGUGGGGAGCAAACACGG
rnacentral:rRNA from 1 species